rnacentral:rRNA from 1 species
UACGUAGGGGGCAAGCGUUGUCCGGAAUCAUUGGGCGUAAAGGGCGCGUAGGCGGCCCUCCUUGUCGCGUGUGAAAGCCCCGGGCUCAACCUGGGAAUGGCGCGCGAAACGGGCGGGCUUGAGUUCGGGAGAGGAGCGUGGAAUUCCUGGUGUAGCGGUGGAAUGCGCAGAUAUCAGGAGGAACACCAAUAGCGAAGGCAGCUCGCUGGGACGGUACUGACGCUAAGGCGCGAAAGCGUGGGGAGCGAACAGG